AUGCUUCUCCUAAAGACUAAGCCAUGCAUGUCUUCGAAUAAGAGGAAGCAAUUCUCUCUGAAUCUGCGAACGGCUCCGCAAACCAGUUGUAAACAAUAGCAAGCAAGCCCAGGCUGGGCCCUCACGGGCUUGGUCUGGGCAACACGGAUAACCCUGGUAAUUCUGAGGCUAAUACGACAACGCAACCCCUGGUCGACCGGGCAACUGGAAGGCUGGGAAGCGUGUACUAGAUCACGAGGAUGAAACCGGGAAAGGAUGCACGCUUGGACCGCGCUAAAAAGGAUCAGGUGACCGACCUCACGGAAGGGAUCCUGGCCCCAGCGGCUCUUGCAAUGUGCUUCUGACCUAUCAACUAGAUGGCAGCGUAACGGACAUGCUAUGGUGACAACGGGUACAGAGGAUUAGGGUUCGAUCCUGGAGAGUGGGCCUGAGAGAUUGCUCAUACUUCUAAGGAAGGCAGCAGGCGCGCAACGUUCCCCUUGGGCAAUGCCCGAGGGCGUUAGGGGACAUAUGAAUGCCUGCCCUAUGGGUGGGCAAUUCAAAUGGGUUUGUUCUAAACAGCCCU
rnacentral:rRNA from 1 species